rnacentral:rRNA from 1 species
UACGUAGGCAGCAAGCGUUGUUCGGAAUUACUGGGCGUAAAGAGUGUGUAGGCGGUGCUCCAAGUCUGGUGUGAAAUCUCCCGGCUUAACUGGGAGGGUGCAUUAGAAACUGGAAUGCUAGAGGAUGGGAGAGGUAAGCGGAAUUCCUGGUGUAGCGGUGAAAUGCGUAGAUAUCAGGAGGAACACCAACGGCGAAGGCAGCUCGCUGGGACGGUACUGACGCUGAGGCGCGAAAGCGUGGGGAGCGAACAGG